CUUCACUGUUCAUGUGCUUUGUAUAAUAAUUGGUGGUCGAUGCUAAGUGCUAUAACAUAUGUGCUACUCCCAAUGCCUCUGCUGUUCUUUGCAGGGUCUAAUGGUUGUUCUGUAUUUUCUGAAUCUGAUAGCAGGUAAAUUGUUAUUAUUCAAGCAUUAAUUGAAAAAUAAUUUAAGAAGAAAAAAAGAUAAGAUUGUAUACCGAGCCAAGGUUAUUAAUCAUU